GCUUACCAUGCAGUCGACGGAACGAUGGAGAAGUUUACUUUUUCAGGCGUCGAGUGGCGGACGGGUGAGUAAUGCAUAGGAAUCUGCCCUAUAGUUUGGGAUAACUACUCGAAAGAGUGGCUAAUACCGGAUGUGGACUACGGUUUAAAGCAGGGGACCUUCGGGCCUUGCGCUAUAGGAUGAGCCUAUGUGGGAUUAGCUAGUUGGUGAGGUAAAGGCUCACCAAGGCGACGAUCUCUAGCUGGUCUGAGAGAAUGAUCAGCCACACUGGGACUGAGACACGGCCCAGACUCCUACGGGAGGCAGCAGUGGGGAAUAUUGGACAAUGGGCGGAAGCCUGAUCCAGCAAUACCGCGUGUGUGAAGAAGGCCUUCGGGUUGUAAAGCACUUUUGUCAGGGAGAAUGGCAGUUGAGGUUAAUACCCUUAGCUGUUGAUGUUACCUGAAGAAUAAGCACCGGCUAACUCCGUGCCAGCAGCCGCGGUAAUACGGGGGGUGCAAGCGUUAAUCGGAAUUACUGGGCGUAAAGGGCGCGUAGGCGGUUACUUAAGUUAGAUGUGAAAGCCCCGGGCUUAACCUGGGAAUUGCAUUUAAUACUGGGUAACUAGAGUGGUGGUAAGA
rnacentral:rRNA from 1 species